rnacentral:rRNA from 1 species
UACGUAGGGUGCAAGCGUUAAUCGGAAUUACUGGGCGUAAAGCGUGCGUAGACGGUUAUGUAAGUCGGGUGUGAAAGCCCCGGGCUCAACCUGGGAAUGCCAUUCGAGACUGCAUAGCUAGGGUGCGGAAGAGGGAAGCGGAAUUUCCGGUGUAGCGGUGAAAUGCGUAGAUAUCGGAAGGAACACCAGUGGCGAAAGCGGCUUCCUGGUCCAGCACCGACGUUCAGGCACGAAAGCCGUGGGGAGCAAACAGG